CUACUAGGGUAUCUAAUCCUGUUUGCUCCCCACACUUUCGCACCUCAGCGUCAGUAUCGAGCCAGUGAGCCGCCUUCGCCACUGGUGUUCCUCCGAAUAUCUACGAAUUUCACCUCUACACUCGGAAUUCCACUCACCUCUCUCGAACUCUAGACUAGGAGUUUUGGAGGCAGUUCCGGGGUUGAGCCCCGGGAUUUCACCCCCAACUUUCUAAUCCGCCUACGUGCGCUUUACGCCCAGUAAUUCCGAACAACGCUAACCCCCUCCGUAUUACCGCGGCUGCUGGCAC
rnacentral:rRNA from 1 species